UUGGCUCUGAAGCCCUGGUGGAACCCUUCAUCCUCUGCCCGGCUCACUUUGCAGGGCAGCCUGAAACUGGAGGUGGAAGGCUGAGACCCCAGCCCAGGAGAAAUGCACCCCUGCUUUGCACCUUCGAAUGCCAGUGCCUUCCGGCGUCAUUCAAGCAGCACUGACUUGAUAUUUGGUCAUGCUGGUCCUGGACACAGAUGAGAGACACAGGAAGGCAAGACAUUGUACCAUCUGUCUUCUUCCAGCUUCAGCAAUGAGGUGUGCGUGAGUGCUGCUAAAGAGCACGGAAAAGCUGCUACCCGGCCAUCAAAAUGAAGAGAACGGGGUUUAUUCAUCAGCUGACUUCAAGAAAAACAGUACAGUGAUGUCCUGUUCAACUGGAAUUACUGUCCUACAGAAGACUGAGACUGAAACCAAAGGAGAGGGUAGCAACAGGAAAAACAAAGACAAAGAAAUUCUGAAUGGCCAUUCCAGAUUAAAGAGCUAUGACAACAAAAUGUAAUGUAUCAUCCUGGACUGGAUUCUUGUCAAGACAGAAGUACUGCUAGAAACAAUAUUGGGACGAUUAGUGAAAUGUGUAGAUGACCCAUCUUUUAGUAACAGUACUGUAUCAGUGUUAAAUUUUCUGAAUUUCAUAGUUACAUAUAGUUAUGUAAAAGAUUUCCCUAGUUUCUAAGAAAGAGAAACAUUUUAUGGUUAAAGUUUGUGAUAUUUGCAACUUAUUCUCAAAAGGUUGAGAAAAAAUUAUAUAUGAAAUACUUGUGUGUUUGUAUGUAUCAAUUCACGGAAUUUGAUUUAACUACCUAAUGGCAUCACC